UACGGAGGGGGCUAGCGUUGUUCGGAAUUACUGGGCGUAAAGCGCACGUAGGCGGCCCAUCAAGUCAGAGGUGAAAGCCCGGAGCUCAACUCCGGAAUUGCCUUUGAGACUGAAGGGCUAGCAGGUGAGAGAGGUGAGUGGAAUUCCGAGUGUAGAGGUGAAAUUCGUAGAUAUUCGGAAGAACACCAGUGGCGAAGGCGGCUCACUGGCUCAUACUGGACGCUGAGGUGCGAAAGCGUGGGGAGCAAACAGG
rnacentral:misc_RNA from 1 species